GCAUGAGUCGGAAUUGCUAGUAAUCGCAGAUCAGCAUGCUGCGGUGAAUACGUUCCCGGGCCUUGUACACACCGCCGUCACACCAUGGGAGUCGGUAACACCCGAAGUCGGUAGCCUAACCGUAAGGAGGGCGCCGCCGAAGGUGGGAUUAAUGACUGGGGUGAAGUCGUAACAAGGUACC
rnacentral:rRNA from 1 species